rnacentral:tRNA from 2 species
GCGCCCGUAGCUCAGCUGGAUAGAGUACUGCCCUCCGAAGGCAGGGGUCACAGGUUCGAAUCCUGUCGGGCGCA